CUGAUCCUACACCAGGCCAACGCCCUGGGAGGACAGGACACUACCAUUCAACACCCCUGCGAUCGGUGAACUCUCUCCAGUUGAGGGCAUUGCCCACCGAGGGUAAGGAUGUGAUGGCCAGUAGAAUCAGAACACCAAGUCCUAGAAUGCCAGAGGAAAGAUAAAGAUCCAACCUUCAUGCCUGGUGCUCCACCCAGGAUUGCGCUACAUCUGUCUUCACCUGGAUGGGCACAAACACCAUUUACUGGAAAACCAUAUGAUACCCUGAUGCAGAUAAAAAAUGGAAGAUGGACCUGAGCCCUAGGACCAUGCCUCAGGACUACCUGACAUGAUGACUCCUUGCUGUCCCCAGUCCACCUGGCCGUGCUGCUGCUCCAGUUUCAACUGUUCUGCCUUAUUAUUAUUGGACCAUGCUGGUCAUUUAGGAACAUUUGAACAUCUUGGCCAUGUCUGUUAUAAUCUCCACCCGGCACAGCCAGAAGAGGACUGGCCACCCCACAUAGCCUGGUUCCUCUCUAGGUUUCUUCCUAGGUUUUAGCCUUUCUAGGGAGUUUUUCCUAGCCACCGUGCUUCUACACCUGUAUUGCUUGCUGUUUGGGGU
ensembl:lncRNA